rnacentral:tRNA from 1 species
GCCGGAAUAGCUCAAUUUAGCAGAGCAGCUGCCUUGUAAGCAGACGGUUGUGGGUGCAAGUCCUACUUUCGGCA